rnacentral:rRNA from 1 species
GACGAACGCUGGCGGCGUGCCUAAUACAUGCAAGUCGAACGCAGUGGGGACGGGUGAGUAACACGUGGGUAACCUCCCAUCAGAGGGGAUAACACUUGGAAACAGGUGCUAAACCGAUACUGAUGGAUGGACCCGCGGUGCAUUAGCGAGUUGGUGAGGUAACGGCUCACCAAGGCCACGAUGCAUAGGCGACCUGAGAGGGGGAUCGGACAAACUGGGACUGAGACACGGCCCAGAGUCGUAAGGGAGGCUGCAGUAGGGAAUCUUACGCAAUGGACGAAAGUCUGACCGAGCAACGCCGCGUUAGUGAAGAAGGGUUUCGGAACGUAAAUCUCUGGUGUUAGAGAAGAGGUAUCUAACCAGAAAGACACGGCUAACUACGUGCCAGCCGCCGCGGUAAUAC